CGCACAGUCAAUCCGUCCGGUCAGACUGCUCAAACGCGAACGCCGUCGCACAAACGGAUUUAUCGCGCCAAACAUGUAACCCGGUCACACGAACAUGGUGUCGAUUAUCAUAGUAAGUAAUAAUUGAUAUUAUAUUAAUUUAAAAAAUAUUACACGUGAAGCUGAACAAGUUGAUCAUUUUUUUUAAUCUACCUGUAGUUUAUGUUAAGUUACAUUAAAACAAAAGUACUAAGCUAAAAUAAAUUCAAUUUUAAAAUAUAAAUGAAUGUGAGUUAUUAAGUUGGGUUACACAUUUUCAAGAAACUAACAUGUAAAGUUAAGUUAAAUUUUACUUUUUUUUUAAAAUUACUUACUUUAAAUGCAUUUAUAAAAGUACUUUGUGCAUUUUAACUUUCAAAUGUAACUUUUUAUCUAUUCAGUGUCUAGCUUUAAUUAUACGUGAGUGCAACAGCCGCAGCUGUAAUAUACUUUCGUUUAUGAGAUUUGUUUUUUAGUUAGACUUCUUACAACUACUUUUUUUAAUAAUUAAUUAACAAUUUUCCGAGGAGAUUUUUCCCCCAUUUCAAAGCUAUCUAAUCACGUGGAGUAGUAUGCAAAAGAAAAAGACAUUAACGGGGUACAAAACGAUUUCAUAUGAUAAUUUAACAUAAAAAUGUUUCGAAAAAAUAUUUUCCUUCGGCACAUAAAAUCAAAAUACAUGACAGAUUGCCGUUCAAAAAAUAUAGUGUAUACCUAAAGUAACAAUCUUCAUGAUAAAAAAUAGAAAAUAUUUUUCAAAAAUGUAUUCUCAUCUAUGUCUAUUAUAUUUUAAGCGAUUUUAUUCGACAUUUCGUCUUUUCUAUUUUAGACAAUUUAGUGUGAACUGAAAUAGAAAUUCGUGUAUGUACGCAAACGCAAUUAUAUGGAGUCUGAACCUUUAAGAGAUAUAUAAGGAUUAAGUAACUCCUGAGGCUCAAAUAUUUAAUCAAAAUCGUUCAAAUACAUAACAUAGAUUAUAUACUAUAGGUCCUUAUUUUCCGAUUGUUGAAUUUCCUUAUUUAAUAAGGCAAACAUUGUAAUUCGCAUAGUUCGAGUACCGAUAUUAUUUUUCGAUUAGCCGUUUAUAUGAUUACGAAUUAAACAUAAUAAUACAAAUCAAUUAGUCCCGUUGAUGCGUAUUGAUAAUAACGUAUAAUACAAGUUUACAAUCAUAAAACAUCAUUAUUUAGUAAAUCGCACCUUGGUUAUAAAUAUUUUUUAUGUUCUUUUUAAGAAGACACCAUACCCGCAUAAUAUUUUUACUGUCUGCUAUAAUGUAGAAAAGUAUAGAGCAUAAAUUCUAAUAUUUACGUUGAUUUUAGAAUUUGCACUUUGAUGAUGAAAUUUAAAGAGGGAUAUAUUUUCGAGGGCAAUACCGUGUAACAAAAAAGUUACAGCCGUGUUAAUUUUUCUUUUUUUUUUUAAAAAAAAAAUAGCUGUAACUUUUUUAUUUGAAAAUAUUUUAAAACCUAUCCACUGCCUUUGAAAAUAUCCGCUUUAUAAUAAUCUGCUUAAUAUUUGGCUUUGAAUUCGCUUUCCGAUGUUGUAUUUAACCAUUAACAAUAAUUUAUGUUUUACUUAAUGUAGUUAGGUUAUCCGUUGUUUAGACCGAGACAGUAAAUGUAAGUAGCCGCACUCACAUGUACGCUUGCUGUUGAUGUACCCAUUAUAAAAUAUAAGGCAUUGGAGAUUAAAGAUGCUAUUGACUUUGUAUAGUCAUAAUCGAAUUUAAAAUUUAAAUAUUACAAAAUUACUUUUUCAACAUGAUAUAUUUAUCUCGACCUACAACCAUACAUUACAUAUGUGUCAUGUUAUGAAAUAAACAUUUUGCGUGCAAAUGUCAUAUUUUAUAGUACAAAUUAAAAGGGCGCUACAUAGUAUGCAAUACACGUUUAUCGUCUCCGUCGUACAAACGCACGACAUAACUAAUUUGCCUUCAGCUAAACCAAUUUUGUACUGUCUAAUUGUCAAACUUAAUGGGAAGCAUAUUGUCUGCGUCUGUGCGUUAGUUUUUCCGAUAUUUUAAUUUAUAAGCGAGAUCUAAGCAUUUUUAAACUGUGAUAUUAUUAUUCACACAUUCAUAUCUUGCUUAAAAAUUUAAAUAACCAAAAAACCAAUGUUCAAACACAGAUAGGUAAUUUUUCUACACUUUAAGUUUGAUUCUGAUAUAAAAACUACGGUACGAAAUAGGUACUAACGUAUUGCUGAACGUAAAUUUACGCUUGUAAGUGGCUUUGUUCGAAAGAAACAACAAAUGCACGUGUAGCGGUCUCUUAACCCAAAGAGAAAAACAUUAAAGUCAAUGAAAUGUCAUCAUAGGUUUCACGAGUGAUAGUAGUAAUUAGAUUAUUUCAUAUAUAUAUAGUCAAGUUAGACGAUUUGUUUUAAACCCAUCGGGGUUGGGUUGUAUAUAUGAUAUUAUUAUAGCCGGGCACGAAUUGAAACUGUUUCGAAUCUUUUGAAAUUCGGACAGUGACAAUGAUCCGUUUUCGAAAGAGUCCGGAUUCCGGAAGUCUAGGGGGACAUCAUCGGGGGGGGGGGUGAUAAUAUGGGGAAUAUCCGUUCGACGACGGCGGCGGCGGCGAUUGCGGCAGCAGAAGAUUGCUGGCCGAUCUGCACCCGUGCAGAAACAACACACGAAUAUAAAAUACUUUUUUUUUUUUUUACACACAUAUAUAUAUAUAAAACGGAAAUAAUACGUUUCGUCGUCGACGUUGGAUUAUAGCGUCCGCCGCGGAUAAUGUUAUUAUUAUCGUUGCUAUAGACGGGCCGAAAUAAUAUACGUUUCUCUUUUUCGGUCAGUACAUUUUAUACUUUUAUACGCCGUCACUUUGAUCAAUAAUAUAUUUCGGGAGCCAAUCUCAUGAUAAUAAUAUCGUACGUUUUAUUUUGAACGACGCGUUCAACGCGGGACACCAAUAUCUGAUACGUUUUGUCGAAACAAACGCGAACGGUAUAUUAUAAUGUAUCAAUAGUAAUAGAAAUAUACGCAAAACGUGUCGGUUGACAAACAAGCCGAUAUUACUAUUGGCCCGACUUCGCGUAGGGAAUAUUACAAUAUUAUAAUGGCCGGAUAAUCGAGAACUUGUAUUGGUUUUUUAAAAAAAAAAAUUGUGCCUAAAACGUAUCUCUGAUAAAGUUUUGAUGAACACAAUAUUUAUAUACUUAUACCAUGCAAGGACUAUUAUCUCGUAACUGGGCUAUAAGAGCGAGAAUUUUCACGAGACCAAAAGUGUUGAAAAUUCUCGUUCCGGUUCUGUGUAAAACCUUUAGGAUUGUAUAGUUUUAAUUUAAAAACGUUUUUCAAGACAUUUCGGACAUCCAAAACUAUAAUGCUAUUACUGUCGUCUCGCAUUUUAUAUCAUAAUAUUGAUUAAUUUCGUGUACAUGUAUACAAUAUUUGUGCGGAUGAGACCAGUGAUCUGCAAUGAUCAAUAAAAAUAAAUCGUUUGUCGGAUCGAUCGUCAUCGUGCGACACGACUUUGACAAUGCACCCGUUGAGUAUGAUGAACCCUGCGGAAGGUCGUCGCCGGUUUACUGUGCUGGUGCAGAUGAAUAUUGUAUUCCACUAGCUCACAAUAUCUCCCGUGACGGAUUCGGUUUGUUGAUUUGUUUUUAUUAUUAUUAUUAUUAUUCCCCGGAACUUUUCGCCAACGGUCCGAUAGCGUUGCCGGAAACAAAUUUACCAAUACUAAUAUUUACAAAUACCUACAUGCACAUUCAAUGAUACGAAUAUUUUCGAGUGCAUUGAACAAUAUUGUUGUCGAAUGCCUAAAAAAAAAAAAACAAAAACCACUCGGAAACGUGCAUCCUUAUUUUUACGGUUUGCUUAAUAAACUUUACGCCGUUUACCCAAUGACUGCGGAAAAAAUACAAAACAAUCAUUCAAAUAUUUAAUCAUACACUGUAUAAUUAAGUCAUGACAUCAAUUAUUAGACACGGAAGUAUUAAUACGACCGGAAUUCUCCCGUUUUUCAAAAAUCAAAAAUAUACCAAUACGAUUCGUGCGGUUGUAUUCUGUUGCAUUUCGUAGAAAUAUAUUGUUGCAUCCGAUGUAUUUAUCAAGACCCUAACAGUUCAAAUAUAGUUUACAACGGUGCCGCCCGUGGUCCGUCUCACUGCGGCCGAUAGAGCCGAACACCGAAAUUUUAGUUAAAUUUUUUUUCAUUCUCUAAUCAUUCUACAACGCUAAACCAUUGAAAUCGAAAACUAAUUCUCAGCGAAGUUGGUUUAUACAUGAUUUUAAAAUCCGUAAUAAAUAAAUACAUUUACGGUUUUUAUCAAAAUUUGAUCUUAAGACCAUUAUAAAAAAAAUAUUCUUCCUUUUUUUUUACCACUAAGUACAACUUAUAUAUUACUUAUAUAACUUAUAUAGACAAUUUUAUUCGCAUUAUAGAACCUACCAAAUAAAAACUACGUAAACAAUUAGAAAACUAAAAGUCUUAUAAAUACUCGUAUCUCAAACAUGUCAGAAUAAGUUGAAAAUGUUACCACAUCUAGAAAAGGCCAAUAUGGGUUUUCCGCCAAAAUGAGAAAAUUACACUGAAAAUCUAAAAACUACUUACUUUCUAACUAACUAGAUUUAAAUUCAAACAAAAGUUAUCACACGUAUUUUUUCGAUUGGAGCAUAUUUCUGAUAAAAUCAUAAUUCAUACAAGUUCAAAAUGACGAAAUUUUAACUCCAUAUUAUAACAGUCAGUUUUAAUUUUACGACUUUUGGUUUUUUCAAAUGAGUAUAAAAACUACUUGGUAAAUCAAAUAAUCACCUACUUGCUCACCAACUAGAUUAAAAAUUCAACAAAAAAGGUCUUUAUUUAUAUUUCGAUUAGAGUGAGUUUUUUAUUCAAAAGUUUGCUUACAAACAGAAAAAAAAACACACAUCAUAGUAAAACCAAUUGGUCCUUUAUUCCACUAUGAAUCUAGAAACUAUAGUUAAUUAUAUAGUAUAAGACUGGGCGGUUUAAUGAAUAAUAUUAACACAAUUAAGGGUUUAAAUUAAAUUGAAAAAAGUUAAAACGGUAAUAGUUAAUUUGGAAAUUUAAUUAACUCUUUAACAUCAGUUGAGAUAAUUCUUUUAGAUUUUAGAUUUUAUUAGUUUUACUAUGGUUUGAUGAUUAUCUAUAAACAACUUUAAGUGAUUCUGCUGAGGGAAACGUCACUGUUGUAGGUGGGAAGUUGGGAAGAUAGGAUAAAUUAAGUUAUUUAAUUUAUAUCUAUAAGCAACGUAACAUGCCAUAGAUAUUUGCCGUUUUAUCUAUAAUUUUCUUUCCGAUUUUUCCCUGUUUUAUUUAAAAUCCCUUGAAAAAUCAAAAAAUGAUAUUUUUUAUGCACCAACUAACAAAUAAAAUUUCCUUUCAGAAUAGGUGCUACAUUUGAUAUACCAGAUAAAAAUUUCUCUUCAAGAAGUUGUUUACAGAAUAAAAAAAAACAUACUUCAAAGUAAAACCAAUAAAAGUAUAGUGUAACUCGAGGCUUUUUUUUUUAAAUAUUCACAAAAGUGCGUUUUUAUCGAUGGAGUCGCUGUUUUCGGUAUCGUGUGAUAUUAAUGCGUCUUGAAACAGCCGAGGUCAAAAGCGUCUGUUUUCGGUUCUAAUCACUCCUGAAAUACCGGGCUCUUUUGGAUAUGUAUUAUUUAAUUGGUUUUUAAUCUAAUCUUGUACUAGAGGGAUUCCUGCGUCACGGUUUACCGGCUUAUCGCACUUAAAUUUCCACGGGGGCUGCAUACAAGUUGUAGACAAAUUUGUCUUGCCAUUAUUAUAGCAUAACGAUAUUACGGACAUGGGUUAGGUUAUCAGCAUACUAAUUGUAGACAAAAAGUUAAUAGAAACUAUGUGAGUUUAACCUAACCUAAAAAGGUGAUAUACGAAUGAUAGACACAAUUAUUUCCCUUCACCACUGCAUUAUCAGGACUUAGAACUAGCUACCAAAAACAAAAUUACUAAAUUUUAAAAAUGCAUUAUAAGUUGUUUUGGUGCAUACCCACCAAAAAACUUAAUUAAAACUUAAAAACUUAAACUUCAUUGCGCAUUAUGCGGUGAAAACGAAAUCUAAAACCAUCGCAUAACUCUCUAUAGUUUUUUAUUAUAUAUUUUACUAAUAUUUAAUAAAGACGAGAGAUAUAUAAACAGGCCCAAGUAAGGGCGUCGUCGAAUUGAUUUAAAAUAUUGUUUUACUGCCGUCUCAAAAAUACCAGCACAAUAUAAAUUCUAAUAAAUAAUCAUUAUUUAUUUCGUAUAACAAUUUAGAGCAACACAAUAUAUAAUAAUUGUUGUUAUAAAUACAUUUUAGAAUAAAAAUUAAAUUAAAAUAUAAUAAAAUUUAACAUGACAUACUAUUAAUAAGUAAAUAAACACAGUAAAUGUUAUGAAAAUUAAGUAAACAAUGUUAAUAAAAUUAAGAGCUGGCAGGAUUCAUGCAUAGAAACUAUAAAAGUUCAGAGAAGUUUUAUAUAUGACUGUAAAUUAGUGUCCAAAUUUUGUAUCCAUUCAACUACGUCCUUACAUAGUGUAUCCCCAUUCGGUACUAUGCGAAUUAAAAUUACCGAUAUUCUUAUGCCCCAGAGUGUUGACAUCAUAAGAGCCUGUAGAGCUUCUCCAAUUACUCGAGGAGGAUUAUUGGCGUUAAAUACCUAUCGAGAUAUCACUAAACGUAUUCUUAUGAUCGUUUCCCUUUACCUUUUUCACAAGCUAUUGAUUUAUAAUUCGGUCAACGUAUAUAGCGAUGCCAUGUUUAUUAUGGCAUAUAUUAUAAUAAUUAUAAUAUUAUAAAUAUGUAUAAUCUAUCAUGUAAAAACCUGGUAUCUUUAUAGUCGAUUAGUUUCUCCCUCCGGGAUAUAGUUUUACUGCAAUGUUAGUACACCAGCAUCUUAGAACAUUUUCCCUAAUAUUUCCAUUCUUGUACAAGUUAAGCCUUCAACAUUUAUCUACACACUAACCUAGAGUUUCUCUGGGAGUUUUUAUCAACCAUACAUUUAUUAUUGUCAUAUUUCUCUUUUGGCUUGUCAUUAUUCAUGACAUUUUUAUUUUUAUUUUAGAUCCAGAGCAUAGCGAGAUAUGUAUUGGAAUGAUGUUAUUUUUUUUUUCUACCAGAUAUCUUGCUCCGAUGUAACAAGAGUAACACCUUUUCUAAAUGAAAAUUUUAUCUACUUUUUACUAAAAAUUGUAGGAAAACGGAAAAAUUCAUGGUAAAUGUAUUAUUUUUAAUAUUGUUUUUUGUUGUAAACUUAAUUCAGUUACUAAUAAAAAUAUUUAUAGACUUGAAAUAUAGAAAAAAAAAUUGUAUUUGCCUUUUCUCGACAUGGUAAAUUUUCAAAACAUUUGAGCCAUUUUGAGCUGUGUAUGGACAUUUUAAUUUCGCGAGUUUUUUACGUCAUUUUUAUUUCGUUGGUACUCUAUGGAUAAAAUUGUUAGACUUAACAAAAAUGCUUGAAAAUUUAAUAGAAGGUUCAUUAUGCGUCGUAAUUUGUGGUCAAAAAAAAAAAUUAAGUGUAACGUAUUUUAAUUUUUUAUACGAGUUUUAAAAUCAAAUUUUAACGAAAAUCGUAAAUAUUACGGCCUUUCAAAACAUGUAUAACCGAAAUUCGCCACGAAUCGUUUUUCAUUGACAAUGGUUUAUCGUUUACCGUACAGGUAUAAAUUAAAUUCUCAUCUAUAUCCUACAUUCCCAAUUUAUCACCUAUAACAGUGGUCCACUCAUCGUGCAAAGUAUGUCAGUCUGUUUUUUUUUUUUUUGUAGUAGAUUUUAUAACUUUUUUGUGAUUUUUUUUUAUAUAAAUUUAAUACGUAUCUAUAUGAAUUGUGCGUUUAUCAGUAUCGAUGAGAUAAUAGGAGGAGGAAGCUGGGUGGUAGAAAAAAAACGUGGAUAAAAUCGGUAUAUAUUUUAUCCAGGUCUUAAAUUUUGACGAUAAUAUACGAAAUGAAUAUGAAUAUAUUUUAACAUACAUUGUCCCAUGAAAACUAUAACUUUAUUCAAUGUAUUUUUUUAAAUUUUCUUUUUUUAUGACAUUCUUGCACCAAGCCAUAGAUAUAUAAUAUUCAUUUCGAAAAUCGAAGCAAGAUUUGUUUGUAGAAAAGUUGUUUACAGAUAAAAAAAAAAUAAAUAAAAAAAAUUCAUGGUUUUCGAUUCACUUAGAAUCUAAAACUAAAUAAAUAAAAAAAUAAUUGUACUAUAUCAGCACUGAAUGACUAAAAAUUGUUGGUUAACAGUCAAAUAUGAAAUAAACAUGAUAUGUAAACAACUAUUUUAGUUUCAUGAUUAAAUCUUUUUAUACAUAUUAAUGAUAAACAGUAUAAUAGUUUCAUACCUAAUAAUAAUAGUUUAUAAAUUAUUGAUGGACCGAAAAAAAAAACGCUAAUACCAUCGAUUCUCUCGAGAGGGUGCUGGAGAAACGUUUUUCCAGCACUGCACUGUCUCAAGUUUUGAAAAACUAAAACUAAAAGUGCACAAGAUUAGAAAAUAAUCAUACAAAUGAGUACGAAUUGCAUACUAAAUAUUAGCAAAAAAAGACGAGCAUAUUUCGCAGAUGAGUGCAGCAAACACUGUUGUAGGUGGAAAGUUGAGAAAGUAGGAUCCAGACGGAAAUUCAAUGUAUAUCUGUAAGCAACGAAAUAUGAUUCUGAGCCGAGAUCAGUUGAGAGUGUUGCUUUGUCAACAAUAUAAGUAUGUCAUAUUAUGGUAAAAUGAUUACAACAAUAAGUGCUUCCAUGACAACAACGAUUGUUUAAAAAAUAUUAAAAUAAUAAAACCAUAAUAAUAACAAAAAAUAAACAAAAACAGUUGCCAAUAACAACCUUAUUUUUAAUCUUUCAAUCUUUUUUAACCUAAAGAAUCAGGUUUUCCUCAUUAUCUCGAAUAUUAAUAAGAAUUUCAAAAAAAGACCUUUUAAGUACCACACAGAGUAGAAAAAAUGUUCACAUAAAAAAAAUUAAAUAAACAUCAUGGUUGAGCCAAUACAUUUCUUAUUCCGCUUAAAAUCUAAAACUGUAAAAAUCGUAUGGGAGGAAUGGUGCUUAAAUAAUGUACGUUUUAGUUUUCGUUAAAUACGGAUGAAACUCUGGAUUUUUGUUAAUUUAUCAUGUAUGUAGAAAUUAAUAAUUAGAUUUAUUGUUAAUACAUAAACAUAAUCAACGUCAUUGACAUAAAAUUUGUUAUGCACUUUUCAAAUAUAUUUUGACGAAAUUGACGAACAAUUAGUUUUUUGUAAUCUAGAAAUUGAAAUAAUUCUUUGCAAAUAGUUUUAACCAAACAAAACAAUUAAUUUAGAUAUAUUAUUGUCUAUUUUUUAUAACUGAUAUUAUAAUAAUUAGAGCUAUGAUUUGUGUGCUAAUAAAAACCAGGAAAUAUGUGGCUUUUUCUUCAAAUUGUUAUGAGCAUAUUACUAUAGUAUAUAGUAUAGUAGUAUAAGCCCUUUGUAUUAGAACAUAAGAGUAUAUUAUUGUAGUCUAUCGAUAACGCUUAGUGUGUAGGCGGCUCCGAGAAUGUUGUAGCCAUACGGCACUCGUGAGAGACCCGCGCAGUCAGUCGAGCUACCACUUUUAAAACUGUACGCCGUCUCAACGACUAUUAUAAUAUAUUACACUGUAACUAUAUAGUUCGACUAACAUUAAAAUUAUAUUAGUAACCAAAAAUCUUUAGAACUGUUUUGUUGAACUUUCUCCUAAAAAUUGGAUCCUCACACUACCGAACAAAUAAAACAACCCGUACGAGCACAACUAUUCGUAUAGGCACAACACAAAUAUUAAAAAAAAAAUGCAAUAUAAUAUGCAAAAACAUGCAAAAUAAAAACUGUUUAGAAUAAUAGAAAUCGUGGACAUUAUUCACUAAAACUUCAUUUAGAGGCUGCAAAAAAAACAUUGGAUUCAAAUCUUGAUAACAUUUUAGCGGUUGAACAUGGUUACGGGUAUAAUCAACCAAUUUUCUGGUACACUUGUGACUUAAAAAAAAUUGAAAAGUUUACGGGCCACUAUUGAAAAGGAAUCUAGGAUAUAAUAUCCCUAGAUAAAAACUAUAUUGGAAAAAAUCUUGAAAACUAAAACGUACAUUACAUCAGCUAUCACCCCCUCUCAAUACGAUUUUCACAUUUUUUAAAUUCUAAGCAGAGCAAGGAAUGCGAAUUAGUUUUACAAUGAUGUAUAUAUAUAUAUAUAUAUAUUUAUUUAUUUUUUUUUUAUAACACUUUUUCUACUCUGGGUGGUACUUUAAAGAGAUCAUUAUUUGAAAUUCUCAUUAGUCAUUAAUAUUCGAGAUAAUGAAAUGGUUCUUAUGUUAAAAAAGAAUGAAAGAUUAAAAAUAAGGUUGUUAUUGGCAACUGUUUUUGUUUAUUUUUUGUUAUUAUUAUGGUUUUAUUAUUUUAAUAUUUUUUAAACAAUCGUUAUUGUCAUGGAAGCACUUAUUGUUGUAAUUAUUUUACCAUAAUAUGACAUAUAAACAUGUAUAUUGUUGAAAAAGCAACAAUCUUAACUGAACUCUGCUCAGAAUCGUUUUUCGUUAUAUAUUAUUUAUUCAGAUAUACAUUGAAUUUCCGUAUGUAUACUACCUUCCCAAUUUCCCACCUACAAUAGUGGCUGCAACCACGUGCAAAGUAUGUCCAUGUUUUAUUUUUUAAUUUAUUCUAAUACCAUACAUUAUUAUUUACUUUAAUAGCUAUCAGUAAUUAUUUGUUUAUCACAAUGACGGGUACUUGAAGUAUAAUUUUUACUGUUAUAUUAGUAGUGCUAUAUCUGCAUCCAAAAUCUAUGUAAUUUGUCAGUGUAAACGGCCGUAAUGUGGCAGUCCAAUGUCUUCUACGAUUUGAUACCAUUGAAGAGAUUACUAUUAGAGAAAGUAUUGACUUAAUAUGAUAUUUCAGAUAAAACUGCUAUAGCAGUAAUGUCCGUUAAUGUGUUAAACUUAUAUUACCGAUAAAUUUUAAAACUUGAAAGUUCUGAAUUUUUUGAAAACAUUCAUGUACAUCUAUCUUAUCUAUAAUUUUUAGAAUAUUGAUAAUCGUAUUUUUACAGUGUAAUCAAUAUACAGGAAGAUUAUAUCCUUUCACUUAGAAUAGAGGGAAAAAGUUUGUUUAAGGAGAUUUUUGUUUUGUGGAGAUUUUGUUCUAUAACUGAAUAAGGUUCAAAAGUUGUUUUGUAAUUAAAGUUUCGACAAUUCUUGAAAUUGAGAGGUCGUCAUUCUUAAGACAUUUCUAUAUGUUUCUGGAUCCUUUUUUCUUUCAGCUUUUGAAAAAAUUCUGAAGAGGCUCCCAAAUCUUUUUUCCUAUGGUUAUGGUCUGACCCAUCAUCGUUACUUAUUGAGCUCCCUCACGCUGUCCCUUAACAACCGCUUAAUUAGUUGUGUUUUUUUUUUUUUUUUUACGGGAAUCUACAGAUGCCAUGCUUGCUGAAUAUCGAAUAGCAAACUGGCGAUUAACAGCCGAAAAUAAUGUGACAACAAUGUGACCGGGUUAUCAGCCGCUGCUUGCUGGUGCUACUGCCAGCCACUGGUCAACAGCAGCUGGUAAGUAGCCUAGCUAGUGUGACCCGUGCUUAAACGAAAACAAAUUUUCGUCCGUAAAAUAACAUAAUAUAUUUUCUCUGUAUAUUAUAUUUACAUUACUAGGGAACCUACUUGUUAUUUUUAAAUAUUGUAAUAUUACAGUACAUCAAAUAAUUAAUUUCGGUGAAAAAUAAUGCAUGACGUCAUAAAAUUUACCGGCCAAUCAGCUUUUCUUCCCACGAGACCCGUAUCAUUUAUUAUUAUCUACUUGAACAAUAAUACUGCUUGGAUAUUAUUAAAGGAAAUAUUAAUAUUUCCUUAGAAUUUGGUAUCGCAGUCUUAUAAAAAAAGAAAAAUAUACGUUCAAUAUAGAGUAGCGCACGCCUGUUUUUCUAUAAUUUAAAAAUAUGGACGGUUAUUAUCGGAUUUACCAAAAAUGAUUUUCAUGAUAGUGUGUAUAAUAAAUAAAUAUAUGUAGAUACUCAGUAUUAAAAUAAUUAUUAGAAGGAGAUAAAAAUCCGCGAUGAACACUUUAACUGAAAAAAAAAUCGUGGGUGGGGGUGCGAAAAUUGUGUCCUCGUUCAAUAAUAUUUGACACGAUUAAUGUGAGGUGGAUCCUUAGAGACCUAACAAAAACUUAAUAGAGACAAUAGUAAGAAGAAAAGAACAAAUCUGUACAUAACCGAUUGUUUUUUUUUUACGAUAUUGAAUUUUUUUCUUUCAAAUCUUUACCGCAUAAUAAUGUUCAUGUUAUCUACCUUCGUUAUUAUAUUAUAAAAUAUGAAUAGGUAAGCAUAAUUGUGUCGAAAUCAUUCGAUUUCCACCCGAAUGGCCAUUGAAAAUAAUUUGUAUGCAUACAUUAUAAUUUGAAAUAAUAGUCGACGAUAAUAUAGUUUUAUAAUAAACCGUAUAAAACAAAAAUCUAUGCUAAUUCAACACGUCUUAUUAUAUUAAAACAUGUUUUCGGACCGUUUUUAUCGCACGUUAUGAUAAUAUAAUAUUUAUACAGUGUGUGUGUGUGUGUGUGUGUGUGUUUACACUCUUUGGGGAACUGUAUUUCCUUGACACGUUAUUCGUUUUUUUUUUAAACGUUUCGUAUUUGAUUGUCUAGCGUACCGUGUAACCUGUCGACGUGUACGAUCAGUCGCGAGAAUUUACGCGCGCACGAGUUAAAAACCCGUGAAAUUAUCGUUUUUGGAUAAAUUAGGUCGGGUGUUUUUUUUAUUUCUAUUCGUGUCUAUGCUCUGCACACAUUAGCCAUUCGAUGGGUUUAUAAUAUAACGUACAAACUAUUCCGGUUUACCCACAGAGUGAUUCAUUUAUCAUUUACCACCGAGCAUUUUGAGUAAAUUUAAAUAUUUUUGUUUGUUUUUUUUCAAACCAUUUCAGUUUUAUUAACUUUAUUUUUAUGCUUUACCUGAUUACUUAUCCCUUAAAUAUAUAUAUAUAUAUCCGUUCAAUUUCAAAAUAUAUACCCUCCCUUUUUUGAACGCGGGGUCAAGUAAAGAAAAUGUUUCUAAAAAUGAUAAUAAUUAUGCACGACACUAUAAUAUCGGAUUUUCCGUUAAUGAGCUAUAAGUUAUAAUAGUUUAAAUUUAUACCGAAGAAGUAAGAAAAAGUUAUUAUCUAAAACGGAUAUGAAGUUUAUUUAUACACUUCCAAACUUCAUAAAGGAGGUUCUUAUUUGAAAAUCCAAAGCUUACACACAUUUAAGAUACGGGGACUGAAAGCAUUGUUAAAACUAAAGGUUAAACAAUUCAAUAAUAAUUGAAAACAAAACUAGAGAUUAGAUUCACUUAAAAUAAACAGGGAAAAUCUUUAGUUCGUGAUAAUAAAUAGAUCACUCUGUAUUGUAUCAACUGCGAUAUUAUUUCGACAGGAUACGCUUGUCUAAAAGUGGUAAAAUGGAAAAAACACAGUCACCUAUACUAAGUAUACGCGGUUUUUUCUUCAUAAAACAGUGGAAGAACCGUUUGAAUAAUAAUAAUACUAUCAUUAUAAUAUUAUAUAGAUCGACUUUCUCGCUAUACAGAUAUAAUCGGCAAAGAAAUGUAUUAAUUAUAAAAUUGCAUCUUCCAUAUGAACGAAAAUAUAAAAAUACAUGUAGAAGGUAUACCUUUAAAAUAAAUUUAAAAAAAAAAGAUGAGAAGAAAACACAAAAAAGAAUAGCCAUGGUACGGGAAAAAAAACUUUUUCCUGUGUUUUUUUUUUUUUUUUUUUUUUACUUUGUCUUUCUUUUCCGGACUUCAUCUUUUAAAAUAUUUAUUAGUAUACUAAAAGAAAAAAAGAAAAAACUAUCACAUUAAAAACUGUAAUAAUUUUCUUAGACUUCAUGCAUGAGUUAUAUAAUCUCAUUUACAUUUUCUAGUGCUCUGAGCGUACAAAUACUGCGACCAUGACAAAAUUGUUUCAAUAAAUAUAAUUAACAUACAACUCAAAUUCUAAUAAUAUACAAAACAAAUUUGCUUCAGUAUUACGUGUGUUUCAAGGACAAUGUUUAUUUUAUUUUAUAAGUAUAAAAAUAGCUAUUGAUCCUACAGCUUAUGUAUGAUAGUUGCUCAGUCGUUAUAAAAUCGAUAUUAUUUAAACUUAAAUGACCGUGUAUGUAUUUCAUUUUUAUUCGUGUGCUCUAGCUGCUAUAGUUUAAAGCAAAUCGUUUACAUCGACGAAUUACCAUAUCACUGAAUUACCGUUAGAUACCAAGAAAACGUAUUAGAGAUAAGUAGACAGGUACUGUAAUAUUAUACGAUGAACUUACUAACUAUGAUUGUCAAAAUCAGCGAAAAGUUUUGACGUUGUUGGUUGUUUUUUAAUACGUUUUUAGAUAUUUAAAAAAGCGUAUGGCUUAGUUCUUAACAUUAGACUUUUAACAUCACUAGCAAAAAGUAAACAAUUUAAAAAAAAAAAAAAUAACCUUUUAUAAAAUCUACUUACUCAUUCGUUUUAAAAACUAUUUUCAACGUUUGCAGUGUAUACAAUAAGUAAUUUCGUUAUUUCGAGUAAAUUGGAUAUUGAUUUAAUUCUUAAAAAAAAGAUGUGACAUAUUUCGCACGAUGGGUAGGCGACUGUUGAAGGUGAGAAGUUAAGAAGGUACAGAGACGAAUUUAAUUUAUAUUUGUCCACAACAUUAAAUCAUUGCUAAUGAUUCGGAGCGAAGUUUCUUUUAUACAUGUAUGUAAAUUUUCCCGUUUUUCCUAAGUUUUUUCUCGGAUUUUCCCAAUUAUAAUGAAAACCACUUAGAAAGUCAAAAAUAAACUUUUUAAAGUAUCAAUUAGCCAACAUUUCCUUUCAGAAAAAGUGCUGUACUUGAUACACCGGAGCAUUUCUGGUAGAAAAGUUAUGCACAGAAAAAUAAAAGAACAUCAUUGUAAAACCAAUAAAUUCCUCACUAUGCUCUGAAUCUAAAAUAAAAAAAAAUCCUUAAACUACAUAUUAUAGUCUGUUUUUUUCCCAACUCUCAAGUUUUAGUUGAAUUGUGAUUGCCAACCGAAUUGUUUUCCUGAUUGUUUACACUAAAUUUCGAAAAAUAGACAUACUUAACGGUUGUUUUUUGUGGAAGGAUUGACAGAUUCAAAAAAAAAAAAUUGUAACGCAUGUACAGAAAUGAAAUCUAACGGAAAAAAACUGAUUAGGACGUAAGAAAAAAAUGACGUAACGCAAACGCGUAUUAUGAAUUGUGAUUGAUUUGUUUAGACUUCGGACGACUUUUUUUUUUUUAUACAUCGAUUGAUAAUAUACAAUAAGAUGUUAUGUACCUGUGCGGGAAUGUCAAUUACAAUAUUCUACAUUUACAUUCUCUUACAAAAUCUCGAAUCGUAGGGGUUGGGUGGGAGGGAAAAGGCAAUAAAAAAAAAAAAAUACGUGCAAAACAUCGAUUUAUGUUUCAUCCAUGUCUCUAAUUUUGACAGUAGUUUCCGAAAUCGAUAUGAAUAUAAUGUAUAAUAUAAUAUACAGUGUCCCGCGGAGACUACAACUUAUAACUUUUAUUUCAAUUUAUUUUUUAAAAUUUUCUUUUAUUAUGACAUUUUUGCACCAAGCCAUAGAUGCAUAAUUUUCAUUUACCAAAUUAAAAUAGCUCCCACCUGCCCACCCCCACUCGAUAACGCUAUUUAAACAUCCCGAGGAAUGCGCGUCACUAAUGACUGCAACAUUUGCGAUCGUGCAGCACCGGUUCAAUUGAAAUACCUACUUUUUUCUUGUUCGACAAAACAUAUUGAUAAUAAAAAAACCUGAAAACCAAUUAUUGAAAAACCAUAUAUACAUACUCCCGUAUAUCGAAUAGGAUGCGACAUCGCGCGGAAAGCGGUUUUUUUUUUUUUUUUGCCGAGUUUACAACCGAUACCGACAAACCGAGAAAGGUCAACGGAUGAGGAAACGGCGAUAAAUUUCCCGGAAAAUCGCAUCAGUCGAUUGCCGUACGACCGAGCGCACGAUUGGUGGAUGUGCCGGGCGAAAAAAAGUUUUUCCCGGACGCGAUUUUUCGCGUGCGCGUAUACUCGGCGAUUUGAUUUAUUGUGAAGAAAUAAAUCGGUUACCCAAUAUACGUUUAUACAUAAUAUCAUAUAUAUUAUUUUAUUACUCGGUGUAACAGUAACGCGGCAAUACGUAUUUAUAUGUGUAUAUAGGUAGGGGGAGGGGGGGAAAUGUUUUAAAUCAGUUCCGUGUGUGCACAAGUACUUGUCGCGGUUCUUUUUUUUUUGUUCUUUCGCUAACGUAAAUCCCAAGACGAGAAAACCGUAUUUACAAAAAAAUAAAAAAACAACAGUAUUUUAAUGUCAUUAAUUUUUUUUUCUCCGCAUUAUAUUACACGGGAAAAUGAAUAAUAUAUACCUGUUAUCUAAUAACGACGACGACGGCGUGGACCAUAGCCAAACGUCACGUCAUGUUAUAUACCUACCAGCCAUCUAUACGGUAAUAAUUAUUACACCCGUUUAUUAUAGCGGUGCGAGUUACAUAAAAAAAAACAAAUGAUAAAAAAAAGAAGAGUUCCGGUCUGGAAUUCCAGAUUUACUAUAGCCAGUUUAUGCACGAAUGACGCGCACGUGAUUCCGCACCUGCAGCUAUACCAUCUGAUUUAUUUCCUAUUUAUAUAUAGGUAUAAAAACUUUGUGUCCACAAAAAAAAAAAAAAACCGCUAAAUUUCUUAUCCGGAUAAUGUAUAUUGUAUAAUAAUAUAUCAGAUUAUAAACACCGGAAAGAGGGCGGUAGGUUAAAGUUCAAACGGUUUAUAUCAGCGGCGUAACCAGGAUUCAGGAUUUCUGAGACCAUAAUUAAUUAUACCUAUUUCGCGGGUCAACAAUCACGGAUUAUGCACAAAAAAAACCUUUUAAAUUUAGUACGCGUAAUUUCGUAAAAAUCAUAUAGUCACAACUUUUGGUUGCGAAGCUUACGGACAACGACCAAACCGACAGAGGGGAGAUUGAGGGGCGCUUUCAAGAAAAUAUGCGGGCCUAAAAUUGGCAAAACAGAAGGAGAACUGACGAAUGAGGUUCAUUCAGCUAUAGAGCUGUAUAAUAAAAGGAAUCUAUAACGUAGAACUAGUGACAAGCUUCAUUAAAUGACCGAUACAAACAGUUAAGUCACAAGAACACGAGACUAUUUGGGAACUGAAAACUGGAGUUUUAGAAAUUAAACUGUUCUAGGAUAAUGAGGACGGGCGCAGCCACAGUUUUUGUAACUUAAUGUAUUUAUCUGUAAGUAAAGAUUAAUCAUUGCUAACGAAAAUGCGAUUCUGAGUGGAGUUUGGUUGAUAGUGUUGCUUUGUCAACAACAUUUAUGUCAUAUUACGGUAAAAUAAUUAUAAAUUUUCUUUAAUAAUAUUUAUUUAAUAUUGUACCUAUUUUCCCGUUUUUCCUACGUUUUUUCCGGCUUUUCAGAAAAAGUGUCAUUGAAAAUUGGAGCAAAAUUGCUGGUAAAAAAGUUGUCCGUGGAAAAAAAAAUAAACAUCAUUGUCAAACCAAUACAUUCCUCACUCCGCUCAGAAUCUAAAAGGUGUAUAUAGUUUCCGACACUCUUAGAGAGUAAGUAUAAGUCAGUAGAAGGAGUAAAAACAAAUAAAAAAGAUAAUAUAAUCACCAAAUAGUCGGUCUUUAGUUCGAUGGUUUUUUUUGUUCGCAAAAUUAUAUUUUAUUUUAAUAAAUCGCCUCUUUGCAAAACGUUUCGACGUGACAGACUAAAAUCUUACGGGGUUUAUAUCCUUAUAUGACAAAUAUUACGACGUUCUGCAGUAAAAUAUAAGAUGACACACCACUACGUUGUAUAUUCGUCAAAAUGUUUCGUGAGCCCAUUUCGUAUAAUGCAGUGUUAUCUAGUCAUGUCGUGAAUAUAGUCGUGAAGGAGAUUACUUGUAUUAUUAAUACGGUUUAAAUAACUGCAACAUCCCAUCACUGUGUAAUGUGGGACGUAGGUAUAGUGAAUUAUUGUUUUUUAAUUUCCGUCGCUCUGCGUGUGAUGUUUUCCCUCCGCGAAAGUACCCGCACUCGUUUAGUGAUUCUGAACGAAUUGUGAACAAAGCGCUUAUAGUAAAAGGACUUUUUCAGGACUUUUUGUUAAAAAAUGUGUAUAGAGACAGAAAAAGUUACAUUAUAUAGUAAAACCUAUUGAAAUAGUAUUUUCCUAGAAAUAGUCGUUAUGCAUAAAACUAUAUAAUAGAUUCUUCGCUAUAGUCAGAAUUUAAAACAAUUUAGGGAAUAUUUUUUAUUGUAUAUAUUGUAUACACUAUAUUGUAUACUUUAUUUUAUUACUAAUCAAUUUUUGAAAAAGUACAAAAAUUAUCACCGGGCAGCAUAUUAUCAUUCUGGGAUUCUGAUUUAUAGAUUCAAAUUUAUCGCGUACGAGUUUUAUCUUGCACGUGUGAAAAUGUCAUAUUAUGUUGCUGUUAUCAAUCUGUUUCAUCUUGGAGCUCUCAGCCAGCAAUCUCCAUUCACUUAGGAGCUCAUGUAAAAAUUUAAUCGAAAAUAACUCUUAAUUUGUUAAGCAAAACCACGUCAGGUAGGUCACCGAAAAAAUUUUUCGGUAAAAAAAAACAAAAAUAAAAAUUUCAUCGCUAUCGAAGCCAACAACAAAGGUUUAUGUUAAUAUGACACUUCCGCAUAUGCGAAAUUAAAAUAGACCAAUAUCCAACAGAGUUUCUUGCUUUCUAAGUGCUGAAACUGAUACCAAAAUGCUUAACUAUAUGUAUAACAUGAUUAUAAAAUAUCAAAAUGUUGUAUGAACGAGACAAAUUCAAAUGUAGGAAUAAUCAUAAUGUUUGUUAGAAACAUAGUAUGACGAGACAAUUUGUUUGUUUGAUAAAAAUAAAAAUAAUUGUUAUUAUUUUUUUUUUUUUUUUUUACUUUAUCUAACUUACAAUAUGAAUUAUUAUGUAUGCAUGUACACUUGUAUAUACAUAUUAUUGUUCAUAUAAUUGUUGACAUGAUAAUCAGUUGUUUUUUUUUAUUAAUAUUGAAUGGAUCUCAUGAAGUUUAAUUCGAUUGUGUGAUAUCAAUGAAUGUCGGAUGUGACCUUGCAUAUUACGUUUUUUUUUUUAAAUUAAUUUCCGCAGAAAAAAAUCGUUUUUGUUUGCCAUAACCAAGGCUAUGACGUAAUGUUUACGAAAGAGAUCGACUGAAGGAUUUUUUUUUAUUCGGAUUUUACGGUCCUAUGAAAUUAUUCGACGCCAAAGCAACUAUUUCUUCCCGUUUCUAUCCCUUAUCCCAUAUUCUUGAGUUACUUUCUUCGGUAACCCGACCACUAUAUACGUACUGUCUACACAAUAAUCGGCGAUUUAUUAUCUUAUCAAAAAAAUUAAAUAAGAAUUCUCAUAUAGCCUAUAUAAUAUGUUUGUUUAGUGAUGUUAUUUAAAAAAAAAUCCAAUGAGCUCGUUUUCGAAUACCCGGCCGAUUUCCCCUCGAAAAACAUCCCCUUGAAAAUGAAACGAACGACUUUUGUGCGGUCGUCCGUAAGCAGAGUUCAUUUAAAAAUAUAUAUACAUAUCGAGUGUUCGGCGGGCUCUGAUAACUAUUCCCAUUUGUGCCUCUCACAUCCGGUCGGAUGAUUGUUAUUUAAUACGUUUCUGAUCGACCGACGGCGACCGGACGACGAGACUUUAGGCCCUCCAUCCGAGUCUUUUACUACACUCCGGUCAGUAUAUGGCUACUGGCUAUAGCCCACUCGAAUCAUAUUUAAAGUUUACCAUGGUGUGAAUCAAAUACUCUAAAUAUUCACGUUUAUUGUGUAACUGUAUGUAAGAAAAUGUGUUACUAACUAUUGAUCAGAUGUAUUUAUAGAACUACGUAGACGGGUUUAUUAAAAAUAUUUGUACAGUGGAACCUCGAUCACUCGAAUCAGUCCGGGGCAAAAAAAAAACUCGACGAUAGUUUACAAAAAUAAACGCUAAUAAUAAAAUUAACUUUAAUAUCAUAGGUUAUUUCGUACAUAGUUAUCGAAUUUAUACCGGUACCUUUUAAACAUUAAGUAAAGAUUGAUGAAAAUUAGUUUUCGAUUACGAUUAUUGUUAUUUACGAUCAUACACUUUAUUAUACGUAAAUAUGUUAUCGUUUUAGAUAACCGUUCGUACAUUUAUACAAAAUCAUUUAUUAUUUUAAUAAUUUUCGGUAAUGUAUGUUGAAUGAUUCGAGUUAAAGCGAAAAUUCUACCCACAUGACUACGACUUAUCGAGAAAUUUGAGUUAGUGAAAUUCGAAUUAUUGAGAAAAUUUAUCCCACACAUACAUAUCGUAUAUUGAAAUGCAGACACCAAGGGAUUCCUUCCAGUUAUCGAAAAUUCUACUUAUAGAGUUUCGAGUUAUCGAGGUUCCACUGUAUAUCUAUUCCGUCUUCGCAGUGGCAAAUAAUUAGGGUAGUGACAACCAAAUUGUCAAUUAUGAGAUUAGAUUGCAGUGUUAUUCAUUUUCAUUUUUUUUUUUUUUUGUUUUUUAUUACAAAGGUAAAAAUCAGUAUAAACAAUAAAUGUAUUACAACAAAUUUUUUAUUACAUAUAUUGUUUUACUAAUAUUUGUUCGAGGCAUAGACCAUUACAUAGUACGAAUAAAAAGUAUGUAAAUAUAUGAGAAAUUGCACGUCAAAUCAUUGAGUUAUCGGCUUGACCCCCAAUGAUUUUCAAGAAUAGUGGAUAUUUUGAUUUGUUUUAGACUGAAAUAAGAUCUCAAAUUUUAUGAAUUUUUCAAAAAAUUCUUGAGGGCAACACCAUAAUCGUUAAUAUUUUGAAUUUAAAUGAAGCAUAAAGAUUUAAAAUUUUAAAAUUAUCGACAUUUUGUUUAUAGAAUUUGAAAUUAAAACAAUUAUUUUAAUCAUAAUUCAAACAUGUGCCUAGUAAAACUUCAUUAGCACAUUUUUAAAACUUGUUUUUGUUUUGCUCUAUUUUGCUCAAAAAACGUAAUUUUUAUUUAAAAACAAAGCUUUCUCUUGGUAAAAUUUGAUUUUCCUUUUGGUUAAGGAGAAAAACUAUAUACUAAUUUAUAAUUCCAGGAAAAAGUUAAAAAUGCAAUUAACCAUUAUUUACUAAAAGUAAUUAUUUAUUUAAAGAAAAUACAUCACUGGGGUAGAAAAAAAAUCUACAAUGUUGGUUCAAACCAUAGACAACACUUAAUACUCAUUGAAUACUUAACUGCGGAUGAAUUCAAUACAUUCUAUUAAAUGAAAACGAAUGAUAUUCUAUACUACUGUGACAUCUUGUUCCGAGAUAAGACAGUGCACUUGCUUGCUGCACAUUUUUGAUUUUCACGGUUUUUUCUAAUUUUUAGUGACUCGUUCAUAAAAAAUGUAUCAGUUGAAUAUUUUACGACAGUAUUUUACCAGUGAAGAUUUGUUGAUGACGUUUUUAACUUUUUAUGCUUGGAAUUGUAUUUAAUUACCUAUAGUUUAUCGUUUUUCUUCUUAACCAAAAGGAUAAUCAAAAGAAAGUAUAGUUCUCUUAUUUUUCUUUUUUUUUUUUUUGUUGGCGCCCUCAAAAACCGACGCAGAAAUGUCGUAAAAUUUAAGAUCUCGUUUUAGUCUAAAACAAAUCAAAAACCCCACUGUUCAUUAAAAUCACCGGCGGUCAGAUCAAUAACCCCGUGAUUUGACGCGGAAUGCCCCAUAUUUAUAGUUAAAAUCGUCAUGGAAUUAUCGAGACCGCCGUUUAUUACCGUUAUACAAUGAACUAUAACGUCGUUUUCAUCAUUAUAGUGUGCCCAGGUGUUGUUAUUGUGCGCACGUGUGGCCGAACCGAAAAACGUUUACUUUCGGCCGGCGGCGUCGCAAAACGACACGGCGACGAGUAGUACAAACGG